UAGGAUGGGUUAUGACCAAAUCAAAAGGAGUGCUACACUUUUUGCUCAAUGCAGUUGGGACUCUUUUCCCUUCCCCAAUUACUUGAGCCUUGAUCAAGUGGAUCGCACCAUGCACACCACACCCAGGGGAGUACUCAGUUUCUUUUGCAUUUUAAUAUUUUCCAUACAUUGAGGACAAUGCAUGAUUUAGGUGUGGGGGUGCAUAAUUCUGGAUUUUUAAUUUUUGCU
rnacentral:lncRNA from 1 species